rfam:Hymenobacter swuensis DY53, complete genome.
UUUUUAUACAGAGGCGUGGAGAGACAGGCUCGACGAAACGCCGGCAACCAGCGGAACUUCCGAAACGGUGCCAAGUCCUGACCAUAUAAAAA